GAGGGAUGAGUGGUUCUUUAUUGUGUUUUAUAUAUACAUGGUGAUAGGAUGGUACUACUGAUCCAUUGGUUUGAAAUAAAGGUGGAAUGGUUUCAAAAGAAAUAUAUAUCUAUUUUUCGGUUUUAAAAAGAUAGGUUAAAAUAUCCUUCAAUUUUUUUUGGGAAAUUUUCAGGGAUUUGAGAUACAUGGUUCAUAAAAACAUUUUUUAAAAUUCCUUGAUCCAUGAGCUAGGGUACUAAAUAAAAAAUUUCUCUAUUUACAAUAGACAUAUUUACAUAAGCUAAAUAUAUAACAACGGAAAAUUCAGGGUCAUGAUAUGCCAUAUACCUUGUUUUUAUCCCGACAUUUUUUGUUCUAAAAUGUUUAUACAAAAGUUCUUGAUUUUUAAACACUUUGUUAUAUUGGGGUUGUAGAAAAAAGGUUUCGACUAAAGAGUAGUUAUUAGCUCCAAUUAGGUUUUUAACAACAAGUUUUUCAUAUUGUUCGGUCAGAAGAGUUGGUUUCUUAAUUAAACUAAUUACUUCAGGUUGACUAUUCGAACAAUUGGUUUGACUGGUUGACACUGUACUGGUUUUCAAAUCUUCUAUAAGUUUUUCCUGAUUUUGAGGUUUUGAAAUUUUUGGGUUUCUAAAGCAAUCAGUUGGUUUUGAAGGUUUUGUAAAUGUUGGGCUAAAGUUGACACAGUUUUUCCAUAAGCGUAUUCUAAAUUUUGGUUCAAAAAACUUUGUGGUUUUAGAGACCAAAAGUUAUCUACAAUAACCUUAUGUUCUUCAAAAAGGUUUUGAGAAAAUAAAGAGUUAAACCUCAAAUUUAGAUUCAACACUUCGUUCAAACAUAUGUUUCCAUAUUGAAAGGUUCUAGCUUUAGUGGGUUUUCUUUUAGCCAUGUUCCUAUAAUCAUAAAAUCAAUCAUUAGUAUUAUCAACAUUAUUAAUUAUUUAUCUACUUAACCAAUCUACUAAUAUAUUAUCUUUUCCUUGUUCAAAUUUAGGUUUGAAACCAAUUAAAAAGUUUUGAAACUUUAUCCAUCUUUUGGUAGACAGUUUUGAAGAAUUUUUGUUUUUAAAGAAUUUUUGUUUUCAAAGAAUUUUUUAAUAUUCUCACAAUCGAUUCUUAAGGUAAAUUGUUCUUGGUUAAAAAAUAAUUGGAAUUUUUCUAAGACUAAUAUUAUUGCUUCAAUUUCUAAGUCUGUAGAACUAAGUUCUUUUGAUAAUCAUUAAAAGUUCCUCUACAAUAUCUACAAAGUUUCUUUUCUCCUAUAUUAGUUACUGCUGAAAGAAUACCUCCUCAUCCUGUUUGACUAGCAUCAGUUUGAACUAUUUUAUAUUCAUUUUCUAAGGGUAAAUGUAAGGUUGGGAGAUGCUUCACAAGUUCUUUUAUUUUCUGUACAAGUUUAAUAUCUUCUUGGUUAAAAUAUCUUUGCCCUGUGUUUUUUGUUUUACUAUAAAGGGGUCCAGCUAAUCUACUAAGGUUUUUAAUAUAUGGCCUAACAUAAUUUAAUAAUCCUAAAAAACUUUGAAGGGUUUUUAAGUUUUCGAGUUUAUCCCAAAAAUUAUUUAUUUUUUGCACUAUAUGAUCUUGCAAUUUGAUUUGUCCAUCCUCUAAUUCUAAUCCUAAAAAUUGUAUUUGGGUCUUAAAUAAUUUCAAUUUCUUUUUACUUACUAUUAAUCCAUGACUAAUUAGUUUUUCAAAAAUAAAUUCUAAAUGUUUUAUGUGUUCCUGAAGAGUAUAUGAAAAAACAAGAAUUAUCAUCAAUAUAUACAAAAACAAAAGAAUAUUUACCAAAAAAUAUUAUCUAUCAUUUGUUGGAAUAUCUGAGGAGCAUUUUUUAGUCCAAAUGACAUUACAUUCCAUUCAUAUAAUCCACAAGGACAUGAAAACGUUGUCCAUGGUUUAUUAUCUUCUUCUAAUCUAAUUUGCCAAAAUCCACUUUUACAAUCUAACUGAGAAAAGUAUUUACAUCCUUUAAUAGAAUUAAUUAAAUAAUCUUUAUUUGGAAUUUUAUGGCAUCAUCAUAUGUAUUAUCAUUUAAUCUUUUAUAAUUAAUAACCAUCCUAGCUUUUCCUCGUUUUUCUUCAUUAUGGUUUCUAAAUAAAAAAAGUUGAGGAUCUAUGGGGACUGAAACUUGAUUUUAUGAGGUUAAAAAAAUUAAACGAGACAGGGCAAGACAAAGCAAGUAUGUGAAUUUCCCAUAUCCGCCGCCACGCCCUGUUUAACUUUUUUUUUUUUUUUUUUGAAAAAAAUUAAUUUUUUUCAAUAUUUUUUAUUUUUUUAAUUAUAUUAAAAUAAAUAUAUUUUAUAAAUAAUUAAAAUAUUAUAAUUUUAUAUAACUUAUUUGAUUGAAAAUAUUUUAUUAUUAUCAUUAUUAUUAUUAUUAUUAUUUUAAAAUUAAUUUUAUAUAUAAUUGAGGCAAGACAAGGCAUACAUGAACCCACCCUCUUGAGUAUAAAAAAAAUCUCAAACUCGAUCCUAACCCAUUUACUUAAAUUUUAAAUUUGUCUCAUUAGAGGUAUCGGAAAAAACUAGCCCUAUUGUCAUUCCUAACCAAAACUAAUGAGUCAACCUUGUCAAAAGUCUUGAAAAAUUUAAGGAAAAAAAAAAUUAGUGGGGCCUUACUAGUUAUAAUUUUAGAACCAAUACCGUAUGAGAAGGGACAAGCUUAAUGUUUGGAUUAGACAUAGAACCAUGAAGCCAAUAAAAGUAGAAAGUUGUCACAUCCUUAUUCACAACUUUGAUGACUUGUCGAUUCAACAAACCAUUUUUUCUUUCUCAUUUGCCAUUACUAAAUUUGAUUUGUCUUUAUCAAAGUAUUAUGCAACUUGAAUUAGAAGCCAUCUUAUAUAGAAAUGUCAAAUGUUUAUUAUUCAUAAAAUUGGAAAUUUGCUAGAAUUUCAAAUAUAAAUAUUUGAAAAUUUUAAUUUCUAUUUUCAAUCAAAGCCCGGAAUAAAGUAGAAGGAAACUACCAGAAAAUUUCUAACAUAAAAUGCAUUCAAAAAGGUGGGGUCAGAAAAAAAAACGACGGUUGAAGAAAUUUGAAUCAGUCAAACCUAUCAUUCAGGUGAACAAAGUCGUUAAAAUGGUUUCAUAAAUUAAUAUAUAUAUAUAUAUAUAUAAGUGGAGAAAUUAAUUUGUCGAGGAGAGCAUGUAGAUAAAUUAAACAUAUCCAAAUAUAUUAUAUAAAAUCUCAAGUUGAUAUAUAUGUGAUUUUUUCAAGAGAAAAAAAAUGUAGAAAAAAAUGUACAAUCUUCCACAGAAGACCAUGAAAUUGAAUGAGUUUCCAUAGACUAUUUAACAAGAAAAUGUAUUGACAAAAUUUUCCACACGAUGAACAGAUAACGAUGAAAUUGAAUGAGUUUCCAUGGACUAUUUAACAAGAAAUGAACAGAUAUUUUCCAUUGACUUGGAUGUUAUAUAAGACUUCCAUGUGGAAUUUUCAAGUGUCGCGUGGUUUCGGGAAGAAUGAAUGGAAAUUUUUGAUGAGUUAACACUGUCAUAUUUAACGUGGGCCUUCCGACACGUAUGACGUCAUCGAUCAUCCAAAACAAUCCAAUAAAUUAUAAUAAUGAUAUAAGACAUAAUUAAAUGGGUGGGACAAGCGUGAGAAAUAGAGCGGUUGGCUUAGUAGAGAGAGAGAGAGGUGCACAUGGGAAACAGUUGCUAAGGAAAUUGCUGGGUCCUUUCUGUAUGUUCAGUCAUUGAAUCUGUCCACCUUCUAAUUCCAAAGUGUCAAAUGGUGAGAGAUUGCCUACACAACAAAACUCUCACAUACAAAAACACAAAGAAAUUAAGAGGUCAUUAGGCUUUGUGUGUUGUCAAUCAUCCCAAUGCCUACUAUUUGAGUUAUACUAUACCUCUUAACCAAAUGUCCCUACUAUUCAAGUUAUAUUGUACCUAAACCAAGGAGUGUACCUAAAGUUAGGAUACCAUCUCUCUGCUACAUCAAGAUUGAUCUCAAAGUAGGGCAAAUCUGCUUUAAGAACAAUGCUCUAUCACUCUCCAAGCCACCCUAAUUUGAUAAGUGCCUAAACCUUCUUUUUUUUUUUUUCUUUUUUUUGCCCACUUGUUUGUUUGUGUUUUAAGCUUAUUCUUGUUUCUACUUAGUUAAAUUCAACCCUCUAGUAUUUUGAACCAACAAUCCUAAAGUCGAGCUUAAUUUAUAAAGAUUCUUCCUUAGUUCACACCCAUCGCUAACCCUCUAAGAUUGAUCCUUUCAAUGGGACCUUCUUGAAGACAUGGUAGGAAAUGACCUUUUCUACCAUUAACAUUGUGAACUUGGAACAUAUUUUGAUUGGCCUAAAACUUGAGGAAAAUUAUGAAAAUUUGCCUAUGUAGGAAAUUGGAAAUAGACAAGUUAGGCAUGUUAUCCUUAGUACACUUUCUAAGGAACUAUUUGAUGUAUAUUGUCAAUAUUAAAUAGCUAAAGGUACUUGGGAUAUCACAAAUAAGAAAUAUGUUAUGAAAGAUGCAAGAAUCUGGAAAUAUGUCAUGGGGAAUUUUAAGAAAAUGAUCAAGGAUAUAAAUGUAUCAUCUCAAAUCCAUGAUUAACACUUGCUAAUUAAUAAGUUAUCUAAUGAGGACGUAAAACUAUCUAAACCUUUUAUGGCUAUGAAUUUGCUGGAUACUCUUCCAGAUUCUUUGGAAAGAUUAUAAAAACAACAUGAAACGCAAAAGGAAACAAAUGUCCCUAAAAAAAUGUUAUAAUCGAUAUUUUAGGACUAGUCCUUGAAAAUAAUCAAGUGGUUGUCAAUCAUCCUAAUGCCUACUAUUUGAGUUAUACCAUACCUCAUAAACAAAUGUCCCUAAUAUUUGAGUUAUAUUGUACCUCAACCAAGAAGUGUACCUAGAGGUAGGAUACCAACUCUAUGCUACAUCAAGAUUGAUAUCAAAGUAAGGCAGAUCUACUUUAAGGACAAUGUUUUAUCACUCUUCAAGCCACCCUAAUUUGAUACGUGUCUAAACUCUCUUUUUUUUCCCACUUGUUUGUUUGUGUUUUAGGUUCAGUCUUGUUUCAACUUAGUUUCAACCCUCUAGUAUUUUGAACCAACAAUCUUAAAGUAGAGCUUAAUUUAUAAAGAUUCUUCCUUAGUUCGCUCCCAUCCCGAACCCUUUAAGAUUGAUCCCUUCAAUGGGACCUUCUUCAAGAGACGAUAGGAAAGGACCUUUUUUGACAUGAACAUUGUGAACUUAGAACAUAUUUUGAUUGGCCUAAAACUUGAGGAAAAUUAUGAAAAAUUGCCUAUGUAGGAAAUUGGAAAUAAAAAAGUUAGGGAUGUUAUCAUUGGUACACUUUCUAAGGAACUAUUUGAUGUAUAUUGACAAUAUUAGAUUAAGAAUAUUUGGGAUAUCAUGAAUAAGAAAUAUGUUAUGGAAGAUGCAGGGAUCCGAAAAUAUGCCAUGGAGAAUUUUACGAAAUUUUGGAUGACCAAGGAUAGAAAUGUGCCAUCUCAAAUCCAUGAUUACCACUAGCUAAUAAUGACUUAUCUAAUGAGGAUAUAAGAUUGCCUAAACCUUUUAUGGUUAGAAAAUUGAUAGAAACUCUUCUAAAUUCCUAGAAAGAUUAUAAAGACAGCAUGAAGCAUAAAAGGAAAUAAAUGCCCUUGAAAAAUGUUAUAAUCCAUAUUUUAGGACCGAUCAUAAAAAGGAAUCAAGUGGUUGUUGAUCAUCCCACUUAAGAACUUAUUUGGAUAUGUAGUGAUCUAAAUUGUUGUUUUGACAAUUUAAGAGGUUUGUUCUUGGUUUUCCAUUUUCUUUCCAAUUCAUUCUUAAAAGAAAUUAUAAUCCUUUUAGGCUUACUUCACAUUAUGGAGUUAUAGGUAGAUUUUUUAAUUUCUUUGUCCUACCUCAAUUGUACUCCACCAAUGUAUUUGAUUAAUUGGUACCCUAUUUGAAUUUGCAAGGCUAGCAUUAGCGGUUGGGAAGACUCUUGUUAAUUCAGGUUUGUGUUGAAAAUAUGCUUAAUCCAUCUAUGAACUAUUUAAUAGUUAUAGUAGAAUACCUUGAUACUUACACCACCCAUUUACUAAAUAAAUAACAUGACAUAACAUGUUUAAUAAAUAGGUUGGAUUGAAAUAUUAAUUAUGAAUUGAUACUUUUUACCCAUAACUUGAUAGCAUGAUUCUAACUCGUUAAAUCGGUUAACAUAAUUACAAUCCAUUUAACCUCUUUAUGAUUUUGAAUUAAUAAAAUGUAUUUUUCAAAUAUUUUUUAAUUACUUUUAAGUUUUAAUUUCAAAAAUUUUCUAAAUCAUAAUUAAUUUAAUUAAUUGUAAUAUGCAAUAUGCUUAUAAGAUAAGAGAAAAAUCAAACUUUAAUUUACACUUGUAUAGAGUUUUAUUUUAAUUUUUCAAUUAUAAAAUAUUUUUAAUCUUUUUAAUUUUUUAAAUAUAUAAAGCUUUACUCUAUUAGUUAUUUAAUUUUUUAAUUAAUUAAAAACUAUCAUUUUUUGAAUUUUAAUAUAUAUAAAAAUUAAUAAAUUUAAUGGUUAAACUUAAAUAAAUGAGUUUUUAGCAACAUUUUUUCAUCAACAUCUGUUGCAGGAAAUGAAUAAUCCAUAAACCUUGCAAUAUCGUUGCACUCUUUAAAAUUUUAAAUUUAUAAAAUAAUAUUUUAAAAAUGCUAUUUACUGAAUUUUAAGUUUUCUAAAUCUUGAUUAAUUUAAUUAUUUAUUUUUAAUUAUAAUAUUUUUAUAUGAUAAAAGAUAAAAUUAAACAUUUAAUUCUAUUUAUAAAAGAUAAUUAUAUAUAUAUAUAUACACACACACAUAGACACCUAGGACAAGGUCAUAUGCAAUGAAAACAGGAAUUAUGUCAUGAUUCAAAACAAAGAAGAGGGUUAGAAAUCCAACAAGAUAAAUAACCAAAGAAAUUUAAAAAGAGAAGGAACCACAAAUUUUUUAGUUCAUUUAUCUUGUUGGAUUUCUAACCCUCUUCUUUGUUUUGAAUCAUGGCAUAAUUCCUGUUUUCAUUGCAUAUGACCUUGUCCUGGGUCAGAGCCAUCGAGAAGGGAAGUUGGGUUUGUUUUGGGUGUUUUGAGCUAUCCUAAGAUAGGUAGCAGUGUGCCUAGGAGCACUAGCCUUGCCGGUAGAGCCGUUGUUAGCCAUGGAUAGGUGUUUGUUAGGCUGUAAGAGGGUUGGGGUGACAUCUCAUAAGGUUUGUCAAUCUGCUAUUAGGCUCCAGAUCAAAACCCUAAAAUGAGUUCAAUUUUCAGAACCAUGUCUAGGAGAUCCAGUGAUUCUCAAGAUACUGUUGUAAACAGUGAAGAGAUCAAUUAUCCUAAGAUCCAAAAUGAUUUAGAUGAUUGGAAGUUACCCAAGGUGUCUAAUCAAGAAAUUUAUAAGAAAUGAACCUUUAAGUUUUUCACAGAUUGUACCAUCAAGACCUCUGAAAUGUCAGUCAGCUUAGAACAAGACGACCAAGUCAUAAGACUUCUAGAUAACAGAUCCAUUGAAAAGCAUAAGAAAGAUGGCUAUAAUUUCAUACACUUUGGUAUGAUUCAAGUAGCAGCUAAGCCUUUGACAAGAUUAGGUUUAAACACCUCUAUUGUCAUGUGUUUAAGGGAUAAUAGGCAUCUCGAAUAUCGAGAUUCUAUUAUAGGCACAGUCCAAGCUGGACUGAAUGAUGGCCCAGUUUAUUUCCAGUGUUAUCCUAACUUCACAAUUAGAAUAAGAGAUGCAGACAUCUUAGAUUCUGUUGUCCUGCAUAUUAAGACCCAUGGCUUUAAGAUCAAACCAGGAAACAGUCCUGUUUCAAUCAUAACCAGGUUUGCCUAUAAAAGCAUGAACACAAGCGUUGGAUCUAGGGCUCUUUGCACCAAUCCUAAGGGUGAGACCACUUACUUUCACUCAGAUAUGCUUGAUAAGUCAGAUUUCAUCAUCCCCAAGAAGAUCUUGUGGAAAGAUGUUGAGUUUCCUGAAAAUUGGCAUUUUGCUAAUGUUGUUCCAACCAUUGCACAACGAUCUGAAAGGAUUGAACAAAUUGUUCAAUAUCCUGAUGGAGGAGGAGAACUAGUUUUCUCCAACUCUUUCAGACAUUCUAGCAGCCCUAGAGUUUCAGUUUAUGAACCCUCUAGAGCUUCAAGCUCUUCCAUUCCAGUUAGAACCACUAGAGAAGAGGAAGGUUCCAGCUCAGGAAAUCCUAAGAACAUUAAGCUAACAACUGUUAAAAGUCACACCAACGUGGCUAAACCAUUUUACACAGAGGAAAAUGAGUCUACUCAGGAAUCCCAACAGGAUGAGUCCCCUGUUAUGUCUCCUACCUAUUCCCAGAUGAUUAACACAAUAAGCCUAAGUGAUGAGGGCUUUGAGAUCAACAAGGAUCUCUUAAGAAAGGACUUCUAUUCUGAAGUCAAUAAGCAAAGAAAUGAUUGGUUCUUUAGCAUUGUCCCUAAAGUCAUUAGAACCAUUUACCAAGAAGAAUUCUAUGCCUACUUAGGACAAGAAAAGAAAAAUAUUAAGUUUUGGAUUUGGUUUGAACUCUUCAAACAAGAAGAAUAUCCAUAUUAUCCUUAUAAGCGUGUUAAUAACACUAAGAGCACUAAUAAAAUUAAGUCUUUUGAAUUUUUUAAGGAAUUCCAGGAAAAUCCCCAAAUCAACCAGGCUUUUGUUGAUAGGAUAAAUCAGAAGAUUAAGGAUAAUCUUGUUGCUCCUUUGACUGUUCAGCCUCAUAAGAGAAUCAAUAUGGUUAAAGGUGAUAUUAGUUCAGAAGAAGAAGCUGAUGAACUAAUUAAGAUGUUUGAGGAACCCCAUAAUCAAAUUAUUUCAAAAGAUAUUAACAAUUUGGAAGCCUUUAAGAUUAGGAAUUAUAUUAAUUUAUACUCUUAAUGCAAAAUUACUUAGUUUUGAGCAUAUUAAAGAAUUCUAUCAUUUAGACCGCGAUUUUUGUGAGGAGUUUCGGGCCUGUGAGAAAAACGCAAUGGGUAAGUUCUUUAGGUACAAAGGUUUCUUAUUUCGAGAAAAUAAAUUGUGUGUGCCGAAUUGCUCUUUGCGUGAAUUGUUAGUAAGAGAAUCCCAUGGUGGAGGGUUAAUGGCGCAUUUUGGAGUUGCUAAGACCUUAUUCAUUUUGCAAAAACACUUCUAUUGGCCACACAUGAAAAGAGAUGUUGAGAGAAUUUGUGGUAGAUUUGUCACAUGUAGGCAAGCAAAAUCCUGAGUGCAAUCCCAUGGUUUAUACACACCACUGUCUAUUCCUAGUGAGCCUUGGAUUGAUAUUUCGAUGGACUUUGUGUUAAGUUUUCCUAGGUCUAAACGUGGUAGGGAUUCAAUAUUUGUGGUUGUGGAUAGAUUUUCUAAGAUGAUACAUUUCAUUCCAAGUCACAAAAUCGAUUAUGCUUCACAUGUUAAUUUGUUCUUUAGAGAAAUUGUAAGAUUACAUGGUAUGCCUAGGACAAUAGUUUGGGAUAGAGAUGCUAAGUUUUUGAGUUACUUUUGGAAGACUUUGUGGUGUAAGUUAGGAACUAAGUUAUUAUUUUCUACUACUAGUCACCCACAAACAGAUGGUCAAACCGAAGUAGUGAAUAAGACUUUGUGUACUUUGUUGAGGGCUAUUAUUAAAAAGAACAUAAAACCUUGGGAAUAGUGUUUACCACACGUUGAGUUUGCUUAUAAUUGUUGUGGACCCGCAUUUUUCACUUGCGCCCCCACUCGAUCGGCGAGACUCGCCUUUUAUUUGUGAAAAAUUAAUUUUUAGAAAAGUUGGAGUCGCCACUUAUUUUAUUUUUAUUUUAAAGGGAAAAUAAAACAAGAAAGAAAAACCCUAAAAAAUGACUCCAUAAUUUUUGGAAAAGCGUGUCUUUGAAAAACCCGAGUCUAAAUCCGGGGAUCAGGUUACUUAUUGGGAAGGUACCUUUAAAAGGUAGCACCCCUCUAAGCCCUACAAAGGUCUCUACUGACAAAGUUAAGGGAAGUAUGGCAAUUAAUCAGUUAAUUAUAGAUACCUAAAUAGGCUAGGUGAUUUUAAAGAGUGGCAUGCCAAACACAAUCAAAUUGCAAUAAAGGAGAGUUAGGGUGCGUACCUGAACCGCUCUUCAAGCACUAUCAUAAAACAUAAGAGUUAGUGUAGAAAUCUAUCACACAACAUGUGUCUUACCAAGGCAAAUCUAGUAUAUAUUUAAACACCCAAGAAUCACAUCAUGCAUGGAUAUAGUCACCAAUAGCGUACACGUCCAUAGAAUUCUCGAAAAAAUAUAUGAGAAGGAGCGUACCUGGAUAGCAAGCUAAAACACCUUUAUGGGAAGCAAGGUUAACCCAAUAACAAAUAUGAAACAAAUUGAAGCAUAUCUCCAAGAGGAAUCAAAAUCAAUUAAAUACCAAACGAUCAUCUUUAAAAUCAAUAUUAGUGAAGAUAUAAAGAAUGUAGGACCCCCCACCAAAGUCCAUAUUACUUUUGCACGAAUUGAUUCAAUGAAUUCCCUUGUUUGGAAUCAUGAAGUUUGUUCAUGCUUGUUGAAAAUCGAGAAAAUCAAAAAAAUCAGUUGAAAAUCAAAUAAAACAAUAGAAAUGCGUGCCAGAAGGAAAGCGGCAAGAAAAGAUUUGUUAAAAUCUGGAUUUUAAGCCUAGAGACUCCUAAAGAUGUUUAAAGAAAACUGGAGUUAUUUUGACGUAAAAUGGUUUUGAAAUCUAGAUUUAAAAUGUAUAAGAUCACAAAAAGAAGAAAAAGAAACAAUAGGAGGAGUAUGAUGUGUGGCGAGGUGGCCAAGCCGGUUUAGUGUAUAGGCUACUUUUGAGACAGAAUUACUUGGGUUGCCUGAGGAUGUUUCUGCAAAUUGCUGAAAUGGAAUUCUGCGUUCUGACAUCAGUGGUCACUGUCUGCAAACUCAAUUCACUCAAAGCAACUAUGAAGAAAGAAAUUUCACUGCCAUCUCUUCCCAAAGUUUCUGUUUUCAUGCUACUGGCAUCACAACCCAAACCAGAUUGGUGUACUCCAACUGAUGUCUUCCAAUAUUUCUUCUAAUUCGGGUUUAGAGAAUGACGAGAAGUCAUUUGGAUUCACCACAUUGGAGGGAAUAGAACCAUUGUCAUUAUUCUAAAGGUGUUUUACCAUGGCAGGAAAGAGGAAACGCUGGCGGAAAAGCAAUUUUACAGCUUAUCAUCUGAUCUGGAAACAUGUAUGAGUAGUUUCUCUUAUAUAAACAUCUGAGUUCCAUUUCUGUUGUCAACUUUCUCACAGAUAGUUUUCUUCAAUUGAGUGCUCGUGUUUUAAUUGAUUUUCAGAUAUUCAAUUUCCUGAAUAACUUCCCAUUCUUUAAGCGCAUUGAAUUGCUCAGAAUCCGAAGUUUACCCUCAGUCAAUAAGAUUCAGCUACUUCUUCGCGUGUGUGAGGGUAAAUGGGUAGUAAGCUAGGGACUUUCUGAUAGAUUCUGCAUUUCUGGACUUUCGAGAGUGGUUGCCAAGAAGACACCAAGCUCCACCAUCCUCUUAUUCCUCCUGAAGGCUUCUUCUCGACAGUCUUCUCUGCUGUUCUGUGAACCAGGACCAUCACAUGUAGGGCACAGAGUUGGAUGAUCUGCUCAUUAUUGAUGUCUUCUGGAGAUGUUGGGGUUUUCUUGAGCAGUUAAUGGUCGAAUGACAAUUUGGCCUAUUCCAUCUUGAAGCUCUCUUGAAAUAGACAAGCUGACUAAAUUAUUUACAUCUGUGUAACCCUCCUCAUUCAAAUCUGAAUCGUUAUCUGGGAGCUGAUCUCCAUCUUCUAAACAGCUUAGGAGUUAGUCGUCCGUUUGCCUGCAGAAGUUUUGAGCACUGCAAUGGUGACUCCAAAAAGUUCAACUGUACUUAUACUUUCUUUAACGCCAAACUCUUAGCGUCUAUACUCUACAGAACAUGGCGUGUUCCCUCUUUUGUUAUUGGACUUGCAUACAUUCUGAACCUUGAGGAUGUCCCUUUAAGUGUAGUCAGAGUGUUCUAUUAUUUUGUGAACAUGAGAUACUAGAAAAUAAGAAGCAGGCACCAAGCUUUACAAAUUCAGGGACCAUUCCAGCGAAUCUUUAUUGCCAUUGACUUGAAUAGCCGGCACCUGAAAACUGUAUCCCUAGACUGUAUCUUUGGUCUGAACAUGGUGUCGAUGAGUUCGUCGAUCAACUCUAAGGAGCCUCUAUCUUUUACUCGUUCUCAAGGACUUUGAGCUACUCCAGAUCUUCUUCCAGUAAGAGAGGAGUAGGAGAGGGCUCUGAAUAUAUCCUUAGAAACUGGGCAUCCUUAAAGUGCAAGCAUAGUAUCUACUAGAGGAAUAUGCAUGCCUAUGUCAAUUACACAACCCUCCUGUACCAUGCUGCUGAUUUAUGAGAAAUUCAAUCAGUAAACUGCAAUCUCUUCAAAUAUAGGAACCGAAUAGGCACCAGACUCAAUGAAGGGAAACUUGAUUUGAAUCAGGAUGAAUGCAAUUGAAACUCAGAUCAAAGGAAAUUUGAGCGAAUCUGAGAUAGAUCUAAUAAGUAAGCAGGAAGGGCAAGCUGCUGGAAGGCCAGAGCAUGGCUUCCUUGUGACAAGAUUGAGCUUCUAGUUGCCCAGUCCAUCAAUUAGCGGAGAAGUUUGACAUGACCCAGAUAAUGGCUAGAUCACUCCUAGUUUUUAGUCUUCUUAUGGUGCAGAGAUGACUGAACAGCAGAAUUUAGCAACUGAAGCAGCCAGGAUAUCGUCAGUUGACACAAUCAUGUGAUGGUAAGAGUUGUCAGAGAGUAGAGAAAGUAAUUCCGGAGAAGGCAACUGUUUUCGUGCAUGAGCAUUGGAGGAGUAUUCAUCAGUCAGAUAAAGAGACAGGCAGUGGGAAUGGCAUUUGCUGCAAAGUGCUUAUUCAUCAAUUCUGCAAACUUUGAUUCCCUGAUAUCCCUUUCAAGUUUCUCCAUCAUUGCCCGUAACAUGGAAGCAAAUGCCUUUGCAUCAUAGUGUUUGUUCUUCAAUUCAGAAACAAGUUGACUGAAUGUAUUUGGAAGCUUUAGAAGAUGCCUUUCUGUUAGCGGUACUUUUGGUAGAACCAGUAUGGGUAACCUUGGAAAGCUUUUCGAAAUCUAGGCGAAUCCAUGUAUGAACUGUCCAAGUAUUCUCUAUUCGUGCGGUGCUGUACUGGAUACAUAACAAUAAUCUCAAUAAUCAUUCCAACAACAAUACAUCAAAUACACAAAUUACCACAGGCAGUGAGGAUCUUCUAGAAGUGCCUAAUUAAAUUGAUGCUAUCCACCAAAUGAGCAGCCUUACCAAGUCUAUGCAGACUUUUUCAGAUAACAUGUUUAAUUCACAAGCCUCAAACAUCAAUUGAUACCGAUCCAGAAUUCCAUGACACUCCUUCAAUACCUUUUGAAAUGACCCUUCACCCGUUAGAUUCAAAUAGCUCCUUUCGAUGAACUUAACCACCACACAAACAGGCAAAAACUUCGUACUCUUCCUUACUCUUCGUGACUGAGUUAUAGUCAAAGGUGAUCUCCUCACCAUCUAGUUGUGUUUUCUGAUUUUAUACAAUUACUGUAGGAAGACGGGUUUCUGCCAUCUUCUCGCAUAUUGGCUUCAGCACUUGUAUCAACUAUCCAGACAUCUUCGGUCAGUAGAUCAUCUUGACUAUUUCAUUACUGUUUCCUUCAUACUGCCCAUCUAAAGAUUGGCUUUGGCAAGUUUGACCAUCUCCGAAAACGAUUCGAUUGCAAUUUCUGGUCGAUCCUCAUGCAAAUAACCAGACAUUAAUAAAUUCCAAGUGGCCAUGUCCGAUAGGACAUUUCAUCGAAUAGCCGUUGAGCACUUGAAGCCGCACCACAUUUACCAUACACAUCCAUAGGAACAAUGGACAGCAAGUGUGGGGUUGUCCCCUGUUUCAGCAAAUGAAUUUACAUAGAAACCCAGCAUUGUGUCCUCCUAGGUCUGUACUUUUUUACGAGUGACACAUUCAGAAAUCUACAAAUGACAAGGAGGACCGAGCCUGAAAGAGAUUCAAAUCCUACAACCCCAAGAAGGAUUCCAAUGGAUAGAAAACGUUGGAAGAUGCAGCUCCAUGCUGAAUGGAACCACCAAAGAAAUUCCCCUAUUUUAUAAGUGUCAACCACAAUAUAAUUCACAAUCCGGCCAGAGAAGUCCUCCUUAAUGCUGUCCCGGAUGAAGAAGUCGGUGGUACAUUCCCUCUCUUCACCUUAUCAAUGACAGUGGGCUCAAAGUCAACAGACACAGCACCGGGGACAUGCUUUCUAAUACCACUGUGUCAUUCCGAGACUUUCCAUCAUGACCCAAUCAUUUUCUGCAUUUGUUUUUAUUGAAACAUCAAUAGGACCAUGCACUGACUCUCGUGGUCUCAGCUCAAUAGUUAUAAACUGAAGCUUUCUUCCCCUUUUGAAUUAUUCAUGACAUCCCAAUGAACCUUUUCAAGCUGAAGGAUGGCCAUCUGUGGGAGGUCCAUAUGGUAAAAGGAUAUGUAGAAUAAUAUGCAUAAUGUUCUGAAGAUUAAGGCAUGAACACAGUUGCAUUUAAGGCAAGUAAUAUAUUUAUACCCUCCAAAGCUGUAAUGGGCACAACCUUCUAACAAAUUCUGUUUAAUUCUCUGUAUUUCGCCACUUUCUUUAAUAGCACCCUUUCUAUUUCGUUGCCACCACUGGAUGACCAGCAAACCCAUGUAGAAGAGUCUUCCUUCAAUGCAUAUAGCCAGGCACUUUUGAGAAGUAGUUUCCUUUAGCAUAGGCCUCGACAGUACUCUUGUAGUAUCUUUGCCAGGAAAACAUUCUCAGACUUUGUCCAACCUAGGUUCCCCACAUCUUUCCAUAUAAAUUCUUCCUACUCUUUCUGAAUUUUAGUUUUAGGCCACGCCAUGAACCAAAGUAGUUCACUAUGCAAUGAAUUUUUGAUACCUUCCACUCCAUCCAGAUGAAUUAAAACUUCUACUGAAUCACAUUUCACAAAGGAUUAACAUUUGUAUGAUAGAUGCUUCUUCUCUGAUGCAGACUGAAUCAUAAGCCGCCUGUGAUAAUCUGUUUGUCACUUGAUUUAUAUGAUCAUGCAAAUCAUUGUAUGAGAACUACCCAGAUUCACAGUAGUAGGUGAUGGACGGGGAUGGAGGAAAAACACAAGACUCAGAAUCAUCCCUUGUCGUGUCUGAGAACUUUUUGACUGUAGCCACAGAAGCAGACUCAAACUCUCUUCUCUGAAUUUAUUUCUGAUUCUCGAAUUCUCUGGAGUUACUAAGAACUUGGCUUUCUUUGCUAUCCAAGGACUAAUCACAACUGACCCAGGAGAAUACCCAGUAGGUGUGCAAACUAUCGUGCAGCAAGGGAUGGGUGAUAGAGAAAUAGAAAAAGAUGCGAAAAGAAACAAAGAAACAAAACAAAACAGAGGAAAGGUGGGCAUAGAGUAAAUCAUCAAGCAAAGCCACAUUCCAUUACUUUGUCAAUGGGCUAAAAAAAAGAACAGGUGAGGAUAUCAGAGGAGAAGAGAACGGUUCUUGAAUAUCAAUAUCAAUGAUAAUCCCAUACAUCAGCCAUUAACAAUAGAGAUUAAAAAGAUUAAAAAUAGAAACCAAAAACAGAGCAUACUCAUGUUUAAAUAUAUUCAGCAAGAGAAACGAUCAGUCCUAAACCUCCACAACAAUCAAUAAGACAAUACCCGGACUUGCAGAAUAAUAUCUAGGAUCAUAUAGGGAUGAGAGGAUGCAAAUUUGGUGUGACCAUACCUGGAAGAACCAAUCUUUGAGGAGUAUUGCUCGGCUUCAAGCGAGAUGAGGAUGCCUGCUGCCAGUCCCUCUCUCUGUGUUUUUUGCCCCAGACGAUCCCGGAAUCCCCAAAAAAUCUACUCCUUUCUCCCUCUCCUUCCUCCAAUGCGUAUCCCACUUUUUCAUUCUUUUCCUUUUCUCACCUAUAUAUAUCACCCCUCAAGACCUAAAUUUGUUUCCAAAAAUGAAAAUUCUCCUAUUUCCUUUCUUCUUCUCUUCUUUUUUUUUAAAUCUUCCACAAAUCUUCCCAAUUUCAAAUUCCUCUCCAAAACCUUCCAAGGAGAGUCCCACCUUCCUUAAACUCCAAUGGUAAGUUUCCUUGCAAACACAUGAAAUUUUUGAAGUUAAAUAAUUGAAUGAAUAGAUAAGCAAGUAAAUAAAUUAGGAAACGGUAAAAAUAAAAUAAAAUAAAAAUAAACCAAUAAACAAAAGUCGAGCCCAAAAGCCAUGUAACCAUGCAAGUCAUACAAGUCACGCUAAAAAUGUCCAAAUGGGCCAAGUGUGCCUAAACGGGCCUAUGAUGAGACUAAGUAGGCCUAGAGCGGUGCCUAAAGGCCAAGUGUAUCUAAAAGCUAUCCUAAAAAUGAAUGAAAAACCUAAGUCUAAAUUAGGGCUGCCAAGGACCAUAAUAAGGGGUCAAAUAAUCCCUCAACCAAAAUCUCCGAAGUGACUUAGAAAAGGUAAGUCGUACGAAUAGUAAUGGGCCACCAAGGAGUUACUAUGGGGCACUGAAAACGAAUUUAAAGACAUGUACUAAAAGGACAAAAUUGAGGGUCUACAAUUGUACUAUUCAUUCUGACACUAAGUUUUUACCAUUUGAAAUUGUUUAUGAUUUUAAUCCUUUAACUUCAUUAGAUUUAACGUCAUUACCUUUGUCUAAACGUGCUAACUUAGAUGGAAAGAAAAAGACUGAAUUUGUUAAGCAGAUACAUGAGAAAACAAGGCUCAACAUUGAGAAAAUGAUGGAGCACUAUGCAAAACAAGCUAAUAAAGGGCGCCGAAAACUGAUUUUUGAACUCAAAUAUUGGGUUUGGUUGCCGAAAGAAAGAUUUUCGACACAAAGGUGAUCUAAGUUGUUUCCAAUGGGAGAUAGACCUUUUCAAGUCCUUAAGUGCAUCAAUGACAAUGCAUAUAAUUUGGAUUUUCCAGGUGAGUACAAUGUUAAUGCCACUUUCAAUGUUAUUGAUUUAAGUCCUUUUAAUGUAGGUGAUGAUUUGAGGACAAAUCCUUUUCAAGAGGAGGAGAAUGAUAAGGGCACAACUAACAAAUGGAAUGCAGAUCUUAUUCAAGUUCUACUUGGUCCGGUUACAAGGGCUUGAGCUAAAAAGUUCAAGAAAACUCUUAAUGGAUUGAUUCAAAACAUUUGGGUUGAGGUGAAUUUGUGGAGGCCCAAGGAAGAUGCUCUACAUGUUCCAUAAGGUUGGAUUUCCAUGAUUCAAGUUUUGGAAUGAUCUAAAAGAAUCCAUCAAAGAGAACAGAUCACAAAUUGCAUGGAUUGAAUGGAGUUUCCUAAAUUGGUGAUUACCCAAUUUUUGACUCAUCAAGGAGAUUAGCUAGUGCAAUCUAAAGCAAUCUUUUAAGAUUGCUAAAUUACCUUUCUUAUUUGUUACUAUAUUUUAUAUUUUGAAUUUUAUGGGAAAGUGAUAAAUUAGAAAUUCCCUUCUUUCCUUUUUACUUUGGGGUAGGCAUGAUUUUAGGAAAUAAUGGAUUCAAUUUUCACAAUCCAACUUAGGAUAUUUUAGUUUCCCUUUUCUCGUUAUUUGCGAAUUCUAGGCAGAAUAUUUAGGGAUUUUCUAAUUGCCAAAUUCAUGGACCUCUUUAUAUUUAAAUAGCCAUCAACUUAUUGAAAAAUAAUACAAAUUUCAUUCAUAAUUUUGUGAGAGAAAAUUCUCUUUGGUUCUUUUAGAACUCUUUGAACUUAUCGCAAAGAUUUGAGUGGUGUUCUCCUUUAGCUUAUCAAUCAAUCCUUCUAUAAUUGAUUGUGGUGUCUUCAUUAUACCAAGGUUCUUGCUUCCAUAUAAGUAACGGGCUGCAGUUACAUACAAAUAUGUUUUAAAACAAUCUUGGAGCCAUUCUUGAUCCACAAGUUUCUCAACUUUGGUAUGGAUUGUAUCACAGUCUUGUUAGUUAUGUCUUUCUGAUAUUUUGUUACAAUAGAUGUUGUAAUUCCAUAUUUUGUUGAACCAAUCAAAGAGUAUAGACCAUUCGAAAGAACCCCUUUCAUCACAGUUAAUUCACCUUUCACAACCUUCAUCACCCCAUUUUCAAUUCUGAUAGAACAACCUAUUGAAUCAAGCAUCCUAAGAGAAAUCAAAUUUCUUUUAGCUCUGGAAUGUACCGUACAUUCUAUAGUACUCUAUAACAACCAUCAAACAUUUGCACCUUGAUAGAUCCAAUCCCUCAAAUCUUACAUGCCUUGUUGCAUAGUAAAACAAUCCCUCCAUUAAUCUCCUUGAAUGUUUGAAACCACUCAUAAUUGGACUCAUAUGAAACGACACCCAGAGUUCAAGACCCACUCCUGGUGAGUAUCUUGUGCUAAGUGAACAAGUACCUCUACCGAAUCAUAACCAUCCAACACCACUAAUGCGUCACCAGAUUCCUACUUAUCAUUUGACUUCUUCUUCUUAUUAGGGCACUCUCUCUUUCUGUGACCCUCCUUGUUGCAGUGAUAACACCUAAACUUUCUUUGUGAUUUGGAUCUUGAUUUUCUUUUGUUCUUGUUAUCUCAUUUCUCCAUUCUACCUCUAACAUUAAGAGCCUCAUUGUUACUAUUUGUCUUCUUUUCUGCCCUCAAUUCCAAUUCUUUAGACCUAAUAGCUAGUUCCAAAUAAUCAAGAGACAAUGUAUCCCUACCAUACUUUAUGGUAUCACGAAGUUGACUAUAGGUUGAUGGUAACGAGUUCAACAAUAUGAUGUCUGAUCUUCAUCAUUGAUUUUUUCUCCAAUGUUCUCCAAUUCAAUAACCAACUUAUUGAAUUCAUCGAGGUUCUCAUCAAGAUUCUUGUCCUCUUGCAUCUUGAACCCUAACAAAUUUGGUUAUUGAGAGAUUUUGUCAUAUAAAGACUCUCCAAUUUCAACCAUAAGCUUGCUGCAAUUGUUUCCUUGUUGCACUUCCUUAAAACACUAUCACUAAAAUAUAAUAUCAUAGUGCUAUAUGCUGUUUCGAGCAUCUCCAUCUUCUUUGUCUCUAUCAUGGUGCUUGGAAGGUUUUUUUUUCUCCUUGUAGUACUUGAGUAACCUUUUGUUGAACCAAGAUUGCUCUCAUAAGUUGCCCCCAAAUGUCGAAGUCUCCCUUGCCAUUGAAUUGUUGCAUCUCAAACUUAGUUGUAGCCAUUUUCGACAAUUCCACACUCACUGCACCAAUUGUGGGAAUAUGAAGAAGAAAUAAUCAACCAAUUUAUUGAAUUCAAUGCACAAACUCCUUGUAGGUGUAAUACUACCCACACAACAAAGAAGAACUCACGCACGCAAACACCAAAGAAACGAUAAUCAAGACACAAAGUUUUAUGUGGUUCAAUCCAAACUGACCUACAUCCACGAAUUGUAGCAACAAUUUUCAGUAUUUACAGUCAAUGAUACAAGGCAAAAAAAAUAUUAGAACAAUUUUCCUCGAUGUAAACCCCAAAUUACAAGCACUCUGUCUGCCACCCUUAAUAGCAGGCUAUAAAUCUAGUUUGAUUUACACCUCGUUUCCUAUUCCAUAUUUUUCCCAAAAAACCAAAUUUGACUAGUUACCCAAUCAAUAUCAUAAGGAAAUAAAUCCCCUAUUUACUUUUCUAGAAACAAAAAAUACAAAAGGAAAAAAUCAUCUUGACUAACCAUAAAAUCUACUAUGAUGAUACAUGUCCAGAAACCAAAUUUUUUCACAUAGUUGAAGGAUUUGAUCCCUUUCAUUUAUGGGUUCUCCAAUGGUUGCUAGGUUAUCAGAGAUAUUCAUUACUUUAAUAAUAUACUCCAUCAUUGAUAAAGAACUCUUUCUUACUGUUUGAAAUUCUAAAUGAAGUUGCAUUAUCUGAGCUUUGAUGAAACUAAAAAGAUUUUCUCUAAUGCAAUCUAUAACACCCAAGUAUUUUUUAGAGAUAAUUUAGGAAAAUAAUAAUAAUAAUAAUAAUUUAAUUAUUUAUUUAUUUAAUUUAAUAAAAUGAAAAAUGGGUAAAAAUGUAAUUUUACGAAAAAAUACCCUAGGUGUAAAUUAUAAAUUCUGUUCUUCCUGUUCUUUUUUUAAUAGUGUUCCUGUUCACAAAAUUCCAAAGAACGUAAAGUUGAAGUCAAAUUUCAGGGUUUGAAGAACAGAUCUCUAUGGGUAAGAUUCUAAUCCCUAGAUUAAUAUUUUAGAUUCAUUAUUUAAAUUCAAACACAUUAGAUAUUUUUUGGAAAAUCCAAAUCUAGGUUAGGGUUUGUUUAUUUAACUUUUAGAUCAAAAUGUUUGAAAUUUUUUUUUUCAAGUAUAGGUUGAUUUAUUGAUGAAGAUAGGAAAAUUUGAAAAUUUUCAAUGGAAUAGAAAAAUAAAUAAAUAAAUUUAAAAUGAAAAAAAAAAACAGAAGAAAUCUCAAUUUUGAUUAAUUUGAGAGAACAUGUAGCAUAUGCAUUACAAUGCCUUUUUACAAUAAAGUGAUGAUUUAAUCUGUCUGAAAUGGAACAUCUAGUAAUGUGGACUAUAAAAUAACUUGUUCAUAAUGAUUCCAAUUGACACCCAAUGCAAGGCUCGCCUAUUAUCCUAUCAAAUCACCCAAAGAAUCCACUACUUCCAAGUGGUGGAACCAUAUAGAAUGAGGUAAUUGCAGGGGGUGCAAUCCGUGUGUGCUAGAAGCAUGACUCAAAAAGUACACCAGCCUAAGAAAAUAAUAAUAAUAAUAAUAAUAAUAAUAAUAAUAAUAAUAAAGCUUGAAAUAGCCAAGACAUUAUUACUACUUAAAUAACUAAUGAACUCCAAAGAAACUUCUCCUACAUGUAGAAACGUCAACAUUAUCUCUUUGAUCUUGACAGUGUACAAUUCCAACCUCUCUUAGCUUCUUGGGUCCUUUUUCCAGUGCUCAAGCUAAACUCAAAGGGGUGAUAUAGAUACUAGAUACUUGUAUUUAUGGUAUUGAGGCAUUGUAUUUGUGUGCACACUGUUGGAAGAAGAAAAGAAAAAAAAGAAUUUUAUCGAAUUUUAUAAUGAAAUAAAAUUGCAAUUUAAUUAAAUUAGUAAUGUGUUAUUAGAAAAAAAUUGGGAAUUUAUUAAUUUGUUUAAAUAAGGAAUAAAUUUUAUUUCAAUUAUAGAUAAAUAGUAAUAGUUGUUUCUCUUAUGUUAUAUUAGGUGAAGAGUAGAUUUUCCAGAAUUAUUUUUUCUCCCACGUUUUCGAGGACUUCUUUUGAGGUAAAGGAAAUUAAUGCAAUUGCUUUUUCUUUUUAGAAACAAAUUUUUAUAUACAUCAUUUGGAAAUGUUUUGAGUUAUUAUUCAUUUUAUGCUUAGAUCAAAUAUGUUUUACAUGAAAAGUAUGUUAAAACUUUACAUUUUGUUUAUAACAGAGAAAUGUGGAGAUAUUAUAUUUUGCAAAUUUAAAUAAUUGAAAUUAGUGUUUGACUCUGGUUUGUUUGGCCCUUGUCAACGGGAUAUAAUAGUUGACCUUUACAUAUCUUGGUAGGGAAUGUAAUUGAUUUGGACCCCACCCUCCAAGGGUUUGGUUAGAAGUUACUAGUACUAGUAGUGUUUGGUUCGGUCUAUCUUAAAGGAACAAUUUGAGGCUAGCCACCUAUUUGAAAAGUCCCACCUAACUGAGCACCAUUUAAUGUUUGAUGAUCAUAGUAAAUAAAUGAUUUGAAUGUUUUGAUUGAAUUUGAUAUGAAAAUGUUUGAAUCAUAAAUGAAAGUAUACAGUGAAAAGUUUUGAAUGUAUUGACAAAACUGACUCAAAGGUUUACGAAAAUAAUGAGUUAUAAUAUCUCUUAUUUUGCAAGUGAACUUAAAAUAUUUGAUCCAUGAACUGCAUUAAUGUUCCUUAUUGGGCUUUGAGCUCAUUCCCCUUUGUUGAUAAUUUUUCAGGUACCCUUAGUUCGAGCGAGGAGUGAUGGCUAGGUCGAGGAAUGGUCAUCAUUAGGAUUUUGCUUAUGAUGUUAUUUUUGGAUAUUGUUAGCUUAUAAGUUUAUGUUCAUUUGGCUUAUUUGAUUUUUGGAAGCUAUUUAGAUAUUGAACUUUUGAAUUUUUUAUGAUAGUUUGAAGUUGAAAUUUGAGAUUAUGAAAAUUUUUUAUAGCACUUGAAUUGUUUGAGUUUGCAAUCUAUUUAUAAUGGAUUUUGGUUGAUGGAUGUUUAGUUUUAAAGUUUAGUUUUGAAGAUUUUAAAAUUUGUUCCGCUACUCUGAAUAGAUAUUUGGUAAUUGGUAACUUCUAGUUACAAGAUAAUUGUUUGGGUUAGGUUACACUUUAAGCCCUCGGGUUUGAGGUUUGAAAUGACCGUCAUGCCCUUGGAGUGGGUCUUGGGGCGUGACACAAUCCAUAUUGUAUGUGAUGUCUGGUAUCCAACUACAUGUCCCAUGAUUUCAGGAGUAAGAGUGGAGUAGAUCUAGCGUAGGAUCAUUCGGUCAAAGCGCCUCAUGAAAUGAAGUCUGGAUUUAUCUCACCAGAAUUUAUUUCUUUCAAACCAUCAAUGUGGUCUUCAAAACCAUUGGCAAAUACUACAUUUUCCAUUUAUGUACGCCAUAAAAUGUAGUUGUUUCUACCUAGUUUAAUGGGGAGUGUAUGAUUAAGUUCCUACAUUUGAGGAAUGCUACUAUUUGAAGAUGAUACAUGUGUGACUCUAGCUUGUUGUCCAUACGACUCUGUUGAAGAUUGCUGCAUUUUUAAGCCUUGAUAUCUUUCUGUAGAUGACAAUAUUCUUGGAUCUCGAGAAAUUUUCUAGAUUGCCAAAUUGGCUUUGAUACCAUGAUAUCCAGCAUAUACACUGUUCAAAAAGAGAAAAAAAUGAAUCACUAGUUUUCAUGCAGUACUGUUCUUAAAGUAACAACAUAUACAUGCCAAAUUGACUUUUAUACACUUCUUUCUAACCUACUGCUAUUAGUACUGCCUUUGGUUGUUACAACAACUUGCUAUAUUCCAACUAUUUUUAAUUGAGAGAACAAUUGAUUUGUUUGAGAGAUUAGUUGACUGUUUGUUUGUUUGGCUAUCGAAACUGUCAUGAACGUUUUUUUUAUAAUAGUUUUCUAACCAUAAUAUAUAAAAUUGUAUUAUUAAAUAAAAAUCGAAAUGCUUUACUUAAACAAUAUAAAUUUUUGUACUCACAAGUAUUGUGCAUAACAUUUAAAUUUGACAUUAACAUUUUUUUUUUUAAUAAUUAAUUUCUAGUUUGAUAGAUUUGGUAAUUUUAUAAAAAAUAAUUAAUGGGUUAUAUCAGAUUUAUAUUACCAAACAUAUACACUUUAAGGACAAAUAGUAUACAUCAAGAUUGAUCAAAGUAAGGCAGAUCUACUUUGAAGACAAUGCUCUACAAGCCACCCUAAUUUUAUAAGUGUCUAAACUCUUUUUUUUCCCCACUUGCUUGUUUGUGUUUUAGGGUCAAGUCUUGUUUCUACUUAGUUUCAACCCUAUAGUAUUUUGAACCAACAAUCAUAAAGUAGAGUUUAAUUUAUAAAGAUUCUUCCUUAGUUCACACCCAUCCAGAACCCUCUAAGAUUGAUCCCUUCAAUAGGACCUUUUUCAAGAGAUGGUAGGAAAGGACCUUUUUUGCCAUUAACAUUGUGAACUUGGAAGAUAUUUUGAUUGACCUAAAACUUAAGGAAAAUUAUGAAAAUUUGCCUAUAUAGGAAUUGGAGAUAAAAAAAAGUUAUGCAUGUUGUCAUUGGUACACUUUCUAAGGAACAAUUUGAUGUAUAUCAUCAAAUAGUUUUCAAAAAUUGUUCUCAAAAAUUGUUUUUCAGUACCGUUUUCUAAAACAGUUACCAAACAGGGUCAUGUCUAUUUAGAUAUAAGUACUCUUGGUUUUUGUUUUUAAAAUCAGAAAAUUCUAUAUAAAAAUAGAGCAUCUUAUGCAAAAAGUCUAGAUUUGCUUUAUCUAUUUAUAAAUCACCUUUAGAAAUUUAAAAAUGUGAGUUAAAUUUUUUUUAUUACCUCAAUUUUUGUAGAUAGUUUUCAAAACCAUUACUUAUUCAAUAUUAAUGUUUAAAAUUUCUUAUAUAGGAAAGUUAUAGUUAUUUUGAGGAAACUCAUUCCUUCACUCCUUGAGGCCCUUAAGAAAAUGUAUUCUUUUUCCUCUAUGAAUAAAAGUUGGGUAAGAAGACUCUUAUUAAGCUGUUGAAAUUAUUUUAAAAUGACAUAAUGAAAUAUUUAAUUAUGUUAAACUUGGACCAUAAAUGACAUAGAUACAUGUUAAAAUGAUGAAUAUAAAAAUAAAAAGGACAUAAUAACAUAUUAAAAGCAAAAAUUAUAAUGUUUUAAAUUAAUUUAAUAAGAUAUUAAAUUACUAAUUUUUUAAUUAAAAAUUUUUAUGUAUGAAUAAUCUAGAUUCAUGAACCGGAAAACAUAUUUUAAUCUCUUUGGUUCAAUGAACUUUUGUAAAUUUCAAGUAAUAUUAAAUUAGUGAGACUCUUAACAUAUCAAAACUAAAGUAAUGAACAUCAUUGUUAUAUUCCUUUUAUUUAAUUCAUGUAAAUAUCAAUAAUCAUUUACCAAAUUAAUAAAUUGUGAAAAAAAUUAAGAAUAUGGUCUUCUUAAUAAGUAUCCAUAGUCAAUAAUAUGAUGUUCUUAAUCCAAAUUUUAUUUUAAUUUUAUGAGUCUAACAUUUGUGCAUUACUAAUUCUAAAUCUCUUUUACAUUUUUUUGGGACAAAGUUAUAAUCCUUUUAAAAUAUAUCAACGAACUAGGGGAUUAUUUAAAAAAUGAUACAUCAGAUUUUUUUUCUUGUAUCUCUUUACAUAAAAAGGAUAGUGUGAUAAAACAUACACAUUUCAUUCCAUUUCAUUUUUAUUAUGGUAAACAUAUAAAAUAUUAAAUAAAGCUACAUUUUCUCUCUCUACACCUGCUUCAUUUGAAAAGAAACUAGAGAAGCAGGUAUAGAGAGGAAGGGUACAUUUAACAUUUCCAUAAUUAGUAAACACAUUCAAGCAAUCAAUUUGAUUUCAUUCUAUUUUCUAUGUAGUCGUUUAAUUAUUUAUGUAUAAUUUUUAUUCUUAUGUAGAAGUUAUCUCAAAAUUGCCCAAGGUAGAGGGAAAAAUACGAGGUACUUUAUUUCUUAGUCUAGCUUUUAUGGAAACUUUAACAAUUUAUGGAUUGGUUUCAUAGAAGUACUAGCAAAUCAUUCAAUCCUAAUAAUAUGUUUGAAUUGUUAAUUGCUAAUAAGAAGCCAAAAAUUCUCUUUUGAAGUUUAAUAAAAAUUUUAUGUAUAUAUUUGGAUAAUUUAUUAAGAAGUAAUGACUUGAAACUUUUUUCUAAUAUAAUAAUCAUAAAAACAUUGUUUCUCCUAUAAACACUAUAUUGGCUUAUAUAGGUUAAUGUUAACAUUUCCAAUAAAUAAAAACUACUCAUUAAAAUAAGACUUAAUAGGAUUUAAGCUCUAUUUGGAAAAAAAAAUUGCUUUUAAUAUUUUUUUUAUAAAAAAAGUCUAAAACAUGCAAUCAUACUCUUCUACAUGAUUUAUCAAAUGUCUUUCAUCAAAUGUGUCAUGCGAUGAGACAAUUUUUAUUUAAUUAAAGUUUAAAGUAUUAAAAUAUUCUAAUUUUUAACAAAACAUAUUAAAAUAUAUUGUUAAACAUAAAAUUUCAUCCCACAACAAUCUACUAUUAGUGCUAUGUUUGUUUCUCGUAAUAUUUGAAGGGAAAUAUAAAAAAUCGAAAAUAGAAAGGGAAAGUACAAAAAGAGAAAAAUGGAAGGAAAGUAAAAAAUGAAUUUAAAAUUAAUAAAUUAUUAUUAUAUGUUACUUCAAACUUAUUUUAUUUAUUUUAAUUCUUUGAUACAAACAUUAAAUAAUUUGAAAAUGUUAACUUUUUAAUUAAUUUUUAUUUGAUUUUCUUGGACAUUUUUUAUAGAAUAGUUACAUGUGAGAAAAUCAUUUUUGGUGGUAUUUUUUUUUUCUUUUCUUGAUACUUUCUAGAAACUAAACAUAACCUAAAACACGAAACCCAAAAGUUAUCCCAGCAAGCUCUUUGAGUAACAAUAUUCAAUAAUUUAUUUUAUUAAAAAUCAGGAAACAAAUAAUAAAAAUUUUCACCCAACAUUAAAGUCAUCAAGGAUAUAUUUAGUACUCUCACACACCUUAUAAAAUAAACAAGGAAAGAGAGAAAUGAGGAGCACAAAUUUAAUUAUAACAAUUUUUUUUUGCCAUAUUUUUAGUUUUCAAUAAACUAAUGAACAUAUAGAAGAAUUUAAAAAUGCAUAAAUUUUUUAUUUUAUUUUUUUCCAUCAAAGCCAAACAAUAACUAGAAAGAAAGUGUGAGUUAACUUCACAAGCAAAAUUAAUUCAUAUGUUAAGAGUUGGAAAAAAGGUCACAAGAUAAGAAUUCUUCCUCUCAUAUUUCACUUAGAGCUCGUCCUAAUGUAUAACUCUUUAAUUUAUUUAAUAUGAAUAACAGGAGAAGAGUCGGAGAAUGUGAUUCUAUUACACCAAAACUCAAUAUUCUUCUAAAAAACCCAUUCACUCAAAACGUUCACAACAAUUAAAAUUAGAAUAAAAUAAUAAAUUUGUGAUAAAAACAUAUAAAAUUAGAAUAACUUAAAUAUAAUUAUAAAUUUUAAUUUAAAUAUAAUAGAUUCAACUUCACAAUGCACGUUAUGAUGAUUAUAUCAAUACUUUACAAUUCGAUUUUUUUCUUGCAUCCCUUUUCUUGCUUAGUAUCUCUCCUCUUUGUCACACUCUUAUAUUACAAAGGACUAAACUAAUUAACCUUCCCAAAGAGCUCACUUACUUCAAAAGUGGGACUCUCAUAAGGGAUAUCCCAAGCUUCACCUUGAUCCUUGAUAAAUCAUCAAAGUUCAGGUCCAUAAGUAGUGACGGUUGCAUAAAGAAAAAUAUUGAUAUUUUAAAAUUUUCAAUUACUUUUUCUUCAUUAAUAGUUGGCACAUAAAAAAUGAUAAAAUAAGUAAAAUAAUAGGAAUGUCAAAAGUGGAAAAGUAAAGUUAAUUGGUUGUUGGCUUUGUGGUGGACUUCAUAGUCUACUCAUGGAAAUAUAUUACUCACUUGACUUAGACUUUAAAAGCUAAGAUCCAAUUCCACUCCUUAUCGUGAAAUAGGUGGUUCAGAUUAUGUAAAAUUGUGGAUAUGAUUUAAAGCAUUAUAGUAAAAUGUGGCAAGGAAAGUGUACUAAUGUGUUAAUAAUUCAGUUGGAAAAUUUAUUAAAGUGAGAGCAUUGUAAUCUUUCUUUAUUGUCCUCUAUUUUUAAGCCUUAGCCUAGUUCAUUCACUUGUCCCCAAAAUUGGAUGAAGAGCAUUUAGACUAAAGAUUUCUAUAGUUUAAAUGCAUAAAAUCUAACUUGAUUAAAAUUUUAGAUGUUGAAUCUAACUUGAUUAAAAGCUUUGACAUGUGAAUAAAAGUUUUAUGUAUUCUCUAGAAUUAUUGUUGCAUCCAAUGCUAUUUGCACUAAAAAAAUAAAAAGUCGAGUGGCAAUCAUCUUAUUGCCAACAUUGUGUUCAUAAUUCUUUGUUUAAAAAUUUAUUAAUCUUAUAUUCCUUCCAAAUCUUCUCAGAUAUUAGAUAAAAAGGUUAAUUCAUACAACCUUUCCAUAAAAAUAAAAAGUCAACAAUCUAGGUUUUUAUAACUUUUUAUGAUUAAUUUUGAUUUAUUAAGUAAAUAUUAUUUUUUAAAUCUUAUUAUUUAGCUAGAAAGAUAAAUCAUGUUUAAAAAAAAUAUAUAAAAUUAUUUUAGAACAUGUAUAAGGAUAUUAUUAUCAAUUUUUUCCAUUUAUUUUCCAAUUGUUACCAAAUGCUGAAAUGUUAACAAAUAUUCAUUCCAAGCUUACAUUUCUAGUAUAUCCAAAUAUUGAAAUCAUCAAAUUUAUUCCCAUUUAAGAAGAAUGGAAAUAGAAACAAAAUAUUUAUUUCCAUUCCACUCUCACAUACCAAACAUGAUCUUGUAGUCUAUCUAUGGAAAUACCUCACUCUAACCCAUUACAUAGAAGUGUGGGCUAGACGGGCUAACAUCUUAUGUUGGUUAGAAAAUUAAAGCUAAAGAUAGUCUAAUCUCUCUUUUUUUUAUCUUCUAUUUUGCUAAUAUACCCUAUUGAUUGACUAAGUCAAAAAUUGAAUUAAGAUCAUUUGCAUAGGACUAAAAGUGGAGGUGUCCAUUAUUGGGCCGGGCCGCCCAUUUUGGUCGUGGCACAGCACGCCAAAAGGCCGGGCCAGGCUGGAAUGGCUCAAUACUGUAGCAGGUUGGGCUGGCACAGCCCAAAAGGAGCGGGUCGUGCUGGGCCUAAAGAAACAGCCCGCACGGCCCGCCAUGCCCAUGGGCCACAGCCCGCCAUGAGGUUACUAUGUUCACAUUGAUCCCUUUACUUCCAUUCUUAUUGUUUCUAGCUCCCUUUAAUUUUAAAGUAUUGCAUUUGGGGCAGGAACUUCUUGCCCUAGGAGAAAGCAUUGGAAAUGUUAGCACAGGCUUGUCUGAAGAUAUGGUCUCAAAGUGUUUGACAAAAACAACAUACCAUUCAUCAGAUCAAAACCAGGAGGAAGCAAUGUGCACAAUAUGCCUUGUAAGAACUGUUGCACCUUACCUAUUUCAAUUGGACAGGGAUUGACUUUCAUUUUAGACCCAAAACAUUGGUAGCAACCAUACAAGUUAAAUGGUGAAGCACCCACGUCUUGAUAGCUUCAUAUAGAAGAUUAUGAUUAAAAUCAUCAUGGUCCAUGAUUUUGAAUGUCCCAAUCUAAAUAUUUCCUCCAGUGCUCUUAAACAUUACAUAACAACUUCAAUUUGAGAAAGGUGUUGCUUUAGAAACUCGUAGAUCCGAUGUCCUUUUGUUGGUUGUAUUGGAUAAGCAGGUUUUGUCUUAGGUGGGUUCAGUAAGAUAUUGGGUCCUAAUUUCAUACUUAAGAGCCGCCUCAUUUAAAAUAUUUGUUGAACUGGUAGAAGGCUGUUUAUUUGGGUUCAAAAUUUCCACAACUAAAAAACAUUUAGAUUUUAUGGACCUGUAUGGGAGUUCCAUAUGAUAACCUGUAUGGCAUGAACUUGACCAAUGGAACUCAAGAGGCAAAUAGAACUUGGGAGGUGUUGGAUCAUGCUCUCACAAAUGUUGCAUUAUUUCUUUUUAGCUUUUAGGAAGCCUGUCUCAUAACUGUUGCUUUGCAAUGACAGGAGGAAUACAAAAGCAAGGAAGAAGUAGGGAGAAUGAAGAACUGUGGUCAUGAGUACCAUGUGGGCUGCAUCAGGAAAUGGUUGUCAAUGAAGAAUUCCUGCCCCAUUUGCAAAGCACCUGCUCUUGCAAAUGGUUUGAAGGAGGAAUGAUUUAUAUUUUAGCAAAAUGGGUGGCCCAUGGGCCACAGCCCGCCUAGCACGGCACGGCCUGGCCUAGCCCGACAUGAUUAGCCCACAAACCUAUGGGCUAUGACGGGCCACCUCUUUCCUUGCAUGGGUCGGCCCGACCCAACACGAUUUUUAAGUGGGCCAUGCUAGCCUGGCACAUUGGCCCAUAAUGGCCCGAUCAACAUCGGGCCGUGCCGGGAGGUUUGUAAAGACUAAAUGUAUAAAAUCUAACUUAAUUAAAAGCUUUAAACAUUCUUUUACCUUAUUUAAAUUUCUUUUGUUUAUUUUUAUUUUCACUUUUUGGAAAAUCCAAUUGGAUCUUAGCAUUCAAUAUCAUCAUAAUUAUCAUAUUAUAAUGUGUGAUAUACUAGGAAUUUUUAUGCUUUAUAUUCAAAAACUUGAAUUUAUCUAUAAUGCUCUUAUAUAUUAGAAAUGCAUUUUUUUAUAUAAAUAUUUUUCAAUGAAAACACUUAAUAUUACCUAUGAAGUGGCAAAUUUAAGCAAAAAGACUUAAAAACAUUACGAGUAGUUUUUACAACUAUACAGAUUUUUCCAGGUAAGAUUCUAACCUUAAAUUAAUAUAUUAUAUUCAUUAGUUCAUUUUGAACACGCUAAAUAUUUUUUGAAAUUUUUUAAUUUAGAUUAGGGUUAGUUUUUUUUUAAUUCUUUUUAAUAUCAAAAUAUUGGAAAUUUAAGAUUUUGGGUUGAUUUAUUGUUGGAAAUCGAGAAAUCUUAAUUUUUUAGAUGAAAAAAAAAAUUCUUUGGAAGAUUUCGAUUUAGGCUAGGGUUAAUCUAUUUAAAAUUUUUAGGUCAAAAUUUUGAAAUUACGAAUAUAGGUUGUUCCAUUGAUGAAAAUAGGGAAAUUCAAAAUUUCUUAGAUGAAUAGAUUUAAGCAAUGAAAUUUCAAAAUUUAAAUGAGUAAAUAAAUAUAUGAUUAUAUAUGACUUAAGGGAUUGGAAAAUAUUAGGAAAAAUAAUAAUAAGAUUUCAUAGGUGAUUUCUAAAAGUAUAUAAUAAUAAUAAAUAGGUUUGGAGAUAGUAUGCACAAUGGCCAUUAAAAAGAAAAAAGAAGAAUGUGUGGUGUGGAAGAAUGAUGAAAAUAAUAAUAUUAAUAAUAAUAAAGAUGCAUGCACUAUGCGUGGAGUGUGUGGGUGUGAUGAAUGUGAUAUGUAUAGUUAAAUAUAUUAUAUUGGUAUUUGUAUGAGCUUGUUAUGGUAGUUGUGUUUGGAAAAUAUGAAAAUAAUAUAAUAAAUUAGGUAUAAAUAAAAUGAGGUGAAGUACAAAUUAGUUAAAUUUAUAGAAUUAUAAUUAGAUUAAUGAUAAAUAUUAAGUUAAUAAGUAGCAUAAAAUUUAAUUAGUAAAAUAAAUUGUAGUUUAAUUAAAUUAUGUUGUGUCCCAAGAAAUAAAUUGAAAAUAAAAUUUAAGUUUUAUAUGAAUUAAAAAUUUAUUAAUUUUUUUAAAAUAGGAAUAGAUUAAAUUAUCUUUCAUAAUUAAAAACAUUAAUUUGAAUAUCUAAAAUUUUAGAAUUGUCAAACCUAUAAUUUUAGAUAAAUAGUAAUGGUUAUUUCUCUUAUACUUUGUUAGGUGAAGAGUAGAUUUUCCAGAAUUAUUUUUCUCCAAAGGUUUGGGCUAUGUUUGGUUCCCGGAAAAUGGGAGAGAAAGAAAAUUGGAAGGAAAAAUGAAAGGAAAAAAAAAGGUAAGGAAAGUAAUAUAAAUUUUUUCACUUGUUUGGUUAUCCAUGAAAAAUUCAAGGGAAAAAAAAUUAUUCUCUUUUGUUUGGUUAACUAUGAAAAAUAAGUCAAGAAAAAAUGAAAGGAAAAUAAAUUCAAUAAUUUGUCUAAGAUGAUUAUCAAUUUAUAGAAUAAUAAAAUAAAUUUUAUAUUCGUAUUUUCUAAAAAUCAGAGGAAGACCCAAUUUUCCAAUCGUCCAAUUCCAGAUGGACCAAAUCGAAGAUCCUUCACAAUUGAAGGGUCUCGAAUAAAGCAAAGCACCAAGCCUGGGAGAGCUGGACGCUGCGGACGACGGGGAGGGGGAUGAAGAGGUAGAGGAGGGACAUGAGGCUGGUGGCGCCGAAGAUGAAGAGGGUGGCGGCAGUGGAGAGACUCGCGACAACGAUUUGGGGGAGGGAGAGGAGGGGGUCAGAGAUGGCGACGACAACAAUGGACUUCAUGGGCUGGAGAGGCAUUGGGAUGCUGAAGAGAAAGCUGAUGGAGAUGUUGUAGAGAGCCGUGAAGAUGAGGGUUGUGGAGAGGUCCAGGUGGUUGACCAGUGUGAGAGUUAGGACGAUGGGUAUGUAGGUGCCCAGGUCGCCCACAGAGCCCCCGAGCUCGACGGAGAGAGUGGUUUUGAGACGGAAGGAGCUGAACCACCGCCGGCUGGGGCGGAUGAGAGGGGUGGUGGUGGUGGUGGUGGAAGGUGUGUCGUCGGCCAUGAAGGCAGCACAGUCAAAGGACUGAGUUUGUGAAUUCAGUUUUGCGGUGAGAGAGAGAGACGGGGG
rnacentral:lncRNA from 1 species